UGAGGAAUAUUGGUCAAUGGACGAGAGUCUGAACCAGCCAAGUAGCGUGCAGGAUGACGGCCCUAUGGGUUGUAAACUGCUUUUGUUUGGGAAUAAUCGACAUUACGUGUAAUGUUUUGCAUGUACCAUUCGAAUAAGGACCGGCUAAUUCCGUGCCAGCAGCCGCGGUAAUACGGAAGGUCCAGGCGUUAUCCGGAUUUAUUGGGUUUAAAGGGAGUGUAGGCGGUUGGUUAAGCGUGUUGUGAAAUGUAGAUGCUCAACAUCUGACUUGCAGCGCGAACUGGCUGACUUGAGUACACACAACGUAGGCGGAAUUCAUGGUGUAGCGGUGAAAUGCUUAGAUAUCAUGAAGAACUCCGAUUGCGAAGGCAGCUUACGGGAGUGUUACUGACGCUUAAGCUCGAAGGUGCGGGUAUCGAACAGGAUUAGAUACCCUGGUAGUCCGCACAGUAAACGAUGGAUGCCCGCUGUUAGCACCUGGUGUUAGCGGCUAAGCGAAAGCAUUAAGCAUCCCACCUGGGGAGUACGCCGGCAACGGUGAAACUCAAAGGAAUUGACGGGGGCCCGCACAAGCGGAGGAACAUGUGGUUUAAUUCGAUGAUACGCGAGGAACCUUACCCGGGCUUGAAUUGUAGGAGCACGAUACAGAGAUGUUGAGGUCCUUCGGGACUCCUAUGAAGGUGCUGCAUGGUUGUCGUCAGCUCGUGCCGUGAGGUGUCGGCUUAAGUGCCAUAACGAGCGCAACCCCUUUCCUUAGUUGCCAUCAGGUAAUGCUGGGCACUCUGAGGAUACUGCCACCGUAAGGUGUGAGGAAGGUGGGGAUGACGUCAAAUCAGCACGGCCCUUACGUCCGGGGCUACACACGUGUUACAAUGGCCGGUACAGAAUGUUGGUUGCAUGUAAAUGUAAUCUAAUCUUUAAAGCCGGUCCCAGUUCGGACUGAGGUCUGCAACCCGACCUCACGAAGCUGGAUUCGCUAGUAAUCGCGCAUCAGCCAUGGCGCGGUGAAUACGUUCCCGGGCCU
rnacentral:rRNA from 2 species